UUUGCAUAUAGAUAUUUCCUGGACCACUAUGCCUCAUCCUCACUGAUCAUAUCUAGUGCUGGCCUUCAUCUCUCCUUUUUACAUUGCUUCCUCUUCUACACCACACACCACCAUCCCUACCAGAGAAGCAUCAGCAACAUGUUUCCUCCCGCGGCCGCGGCCGCAGCCUUCCGCCAUCGCUCGGAGCCACCGUCUUUCUACCGCUCCCGUGCUGCCCGAUGCAUUCGCUUGGUACAUGAUCGACUACGUUAAUUCUCUCAUUGUCUCUACUAAUUCUCCUAGAAUUUGAACUUAAUUUGCCGGGUUCAGCACUUGAUAGAGAGGUGCCUGACCUUCCACUUGGAUAGGGAAGACUGCGCGAGAGUUCUUGCCAAACGCGCUAACAUCCAACCAGUAGUCACCAAUGCAGUGUGGGAUGGAUUGCAAAGAGAGAAUCCUGGAUUUUUUGACUUUUAUUACGAGGAUUUGGGCAGGAGGAGAUUGAUGAGGAGAAACAGGAUCGCAAUGUUAAGGCACUCUGUGAUUAGAAGGAAGAUGAUUCCAGUUAGAAAUCAUCUACUCUUUUUCUAGCUUUUCGGAUCAAUAAUUGGAAUAUUUGUGUUGUCUUGUUCAAGCCAUCGAUCAUAAAUUUUGAUGCUCUGUGUUAAUUUA